rnacentral:lncRNA from 1 species
UUAUUCUUUUUGUUUUUCGUUUUUUUUUAUUUUUUUUUAUUUUUUAUUUAAAACACGUGGGCUUCGCCUAGCGAGCAUGACAGCUCAUGAAGAAACUUUUGCUCCUUCAAGAUUAACGUUUUGACUGACGAAUAGACCCCAUUUGAACCUGUUGGAAGCAUCUCAAGCCAUUCCCUUGUGUUGACCGAUCAUCUAGAUAGAACCCACAAAGUG